rnacentral:piRNA from 1 species
UAGGAAAAACAAAUUUCUUCUUUGGCCUA